AGCGGCGAACGGGUGAGUAACACGUGGACAACUGCCCAAUAGCGGGGGACAACUUGGGGAAACAUAAGCUAAUACCGCAUACGCUCCUUCGGCUAAGGCCGAUUGAGGAAAGAUCGCCUAUCCUUGGAAGCGGUCGCUAUUGGAGGGGUCCGCGGCUGAUUAGCUAGUUGGUGAGGUAAUGGCUCACCAAGGCGACGAUCAGUAGCCGGCCUGAGAGGGCGAUCGGCCACACUGGAACUGAGACACGGUCCAGACUCCUACGGGAGGCAGCAGUGGGGAAUAUUGGACAAUGGGGGAAACCCUGAUCCAGCAACGCCGCGUGGAGGAUGACGGCCUUCGGGUUGUAAACUCCUGUCAGGUGGAGCGAAAAGCGCCGGUAAAUAGCCGGUGUCUAUGACGGUACCACCAGAGGAAGCCCCGGCUAACUCCGUGCCAGCAGCCGCGGUAAUACGGAGGGGGCAAGCGUUAUUCGGAAUUAUUGGGCGUAAAGGGCGCGUAGGCGGCUGUGCAAGUCAGGGGUGAAAUCCCUCGGCUCAACCGAGGAACUGCCUCUGAAACUGCACGGCUUGAGACCGGAGGAGGGUGGUGGAAUUCCUAGUGUAGCGGUGAAAUGCGUAGAUAUUAGGAGGAACACCAGUGGCGAAGGCGACCACCUGGACCGGAUCUGACGCUGAGGCGCGAAAGUGUGGGGAGCAAACAGGAUUAGAUACCCUGGUAGUCCACACUGUAAACGAUGAGCACUCGGUGCUGCGGGUGUCGACCCCUGCAGUGCCUUAGGUAACCCGUUAA
rnacentral:rRNA from 1 species